rnacentral:lncRNA from 1 species
UUAUAUUUAUAAGAGAUACACAGAAUAAGUAGUCUCAUAUCAAAACAUUUAGUAGCAUGACAAAAUAAAAGGAGAUGCAUGUACAUAUCAGAACUGAGAUUCUCCAAAUCCCAAAUUUUGGUCAUGAAAUAUAUUCUUUAUCAUAAUUUGAAAUACCACAAUGGGCUAAUAAUCACUGUCAAUGUAAGGAAAUGCAUGCUUUUCUUUCGCUUCAUAUGAAUUGAAUUUCUCGAUUAAAUAAUCAUAGUUGAUAUCAAUGUCAAACCUUGAAAGUGAAAGGUUUCAGUUCUCAUCGAAACCACUGCAUUAGUAACUCGAUGCAUUCGUUUUGUCUUCACUUUGUCAUAGUAGACACAUUUGCCCCAUUCUGAUUUUAAAACUCUGCUACACAAGUUAAUAUAAUGACAAUAUAAGUGUCAAAGAUAAUGAAAAUGUUUGCUUCCUAUAAGCUUAUAAACAUAGGAUGGUGCCCUAUCUUGAGUGUAUUCUAUCAGUAGGCUUGCGAAGAUAAGAUGACUUGAAUGAGAACAUCAAUGCCAAAAUCAUCCGCGGCUCACAAAAAUGACAGGUCACAGCAAAAGUAAAGUGUCCUGGGCAGAUUAUUAACAAAAGUACAUAGAAUCGAAAGGUGUAGCGGCUACCGAUGUGUCUGAAGCUCAUAGCAAGUAGGCAACUUCCCAUGCAGAGUAUAUGUCCUAGAAAGAAGAGAAAAGAAGGUGCAGCACCACAAUACAUAAUUUUUUAGACUAAAGAGCACUACAAUAUCACAAUAAUUUGAAGGAGCAAUUGUAUGCCUAAUUAUGGUCUAAACAGAUGUGACUUUGGUACAUGUAUUUCUUUGAUCAUGACGGUCCAAUUUGAUUAUAAUGACGGUCCAGUUUGAUUAUAAUCAAAGAAAUCAACCAACUAUGCAAGCACGAUAGUUAUUAACAGAGAGACACAUCACGCCAGUUUAAAAUUUCAUGAUAGGUGCUUACUAUAUUUUCUAAGAUUGGCUGCAUCUUAUUAGAAUCAAGAAAUACAUGUAUACGCCAGCAGCUAGUGCUCCCAGGGAACUGAAUUAUGCUUACGCAGCGCCAUGAAUAUUUAAAUAUACAUUAUACUGAAUAUAUAUAUGAUGUAUUUACUUUGUUUUUUCAGCUAUCGUGGUCAAAAGUUCUAAACCUGACUUAUAUUCUACAAAAAUAUUUACCUGGCAUGAACCAUUGUGUUGCUGCAAAUAUAAAUAUAUAUUUUUAAUCAACCAUUUGUACAUCUCUAAACUCUACGAUCUAGCCAUGAUUACUAUGCAAUUACGAAGUUCUCAACUUUCUCUUCUCUUCAUUUAUAAUUAGAACAUGAGACACUACUUUGAUAUAUCCCCUUCUUGACACAGAGAUCCUAAAAACAAUCAGGCACAUAAGCCUAAAAUAAACAGUGGUGAUUACCGUGGGAAAAGAUCACUUUGACCCUUCUCUUUCUACACCGAUAAGAAAAAAUGGUUCCUUAAAUAGAGAAGUUUUUUGGAAAAAUUCACAUGGAGAAAGCAAGGAAUCUAACCAUGUUGCCGGGGUGAAGCAUCUGACAACCCAAAAGGUACAACAUAAUAGCCAUGAGGAGGAAUGCCAAAUGAGACCAUAGAAAAAGGAAUGCAGAAAAGGAAACCAAUCAACUUAAGGAACUUGAUCGUUGUCAUACCUUCAUGUUGCCUUUGACUUAAUCAAAUGCCUGCAAUUAAGCAACGAAGAACCACAUUAGUGGCUACACAAGCUUGUAGAAUGAUACUACUGACAAAUAUAGCCAAUGGCCUAUGUCUAAAGAUAUCACUAUUCAUUCUGGAGGUUACUUGAUUAGCCCGAACACGUGGGAAGGUGGCAGCUCACGUAUGGCAUGGAGCAUAAAAAAUAAUAGGUAGCCAGGUAGGCAUCACGAAGUGGGCUUACCUUUGGAGGAGCAUGGUGUUGGUGGUUGGCCCCAUUGGAUGAUCUUGCCCUCAUAAUGUAGUAUUGAAACUGAAAAUAAUAUGCAGCUAUUAGGCAUUGUUCAGGACAAAGGAUAAUUACACUAAUAAUUAUUUAGUUAGGCCUCACACUAGCAAAACAUGCCCGUGCGUUGCUACGGGAGAGAAAAAACAUCACACAUAUACCAAGCUCUAUCACUUUCGCAUUCGCAUGGCAAUCAAACAUCCUCAGCGCCCAUUCACUGGACCCAAAACAAUCAUGCACUGCCGCGGCACCGCCAGUGACAUUGGCGGCGAGUCGAGGGAGCACCGAGCAGGCAUGACACGGCUGCCACGAGCUCCUUGGUCGCCUUCC